AGAAAAAGUUUGCUGAUCCAAGCUCUUGUUGACCAAAUGGGUCCCAGUUAACUUUCACUUUUGCAAAAUCUAGAAUAGCAGUUUAGUAUAUAUCCGCAGACCCGAUGCCUUUGUGAAGAUUCCAAACACAGAGGGAUUUGAAGCAUCCUCUUGGGCCAUCCCAACAGAAAACUGCAUUAGAAGGGGAGAAGUUGGUAAGCGUUUGCUGUGGAGCCAUGUGAGCACAAUCGCUUCUGGAGAACAAUAGAUAAACCUAAAUAAGCACAGGUGGACCUUCUGCAAAAAUCAACUCAGAAUGGAAAAUGGAUUUCAAUGCAAAACAUAAAACUAUAACACGUUUAGAAAAAAAAUUGGGGGAAAGUCUUGGGAUCUAGGACUAGUCAAAAGCCUUGGAUCUUAGACUUGA